rnacentral:misc_RNA from 1 species
ACAAACUUGGUCAUUUAGAGGAAGUAAAAGUCGUAACAAGGUUUCCGUAGGUGAACCUGCGGAAGGAUCAUUACCGAGUGCGGACCCCUCGCGGGUCCAACCUCCCACCCGUGUCUCUUGUAUACCCUGUUGCUUUGGCGGGCCCACCGGGAAACCGGUCGCCGGGGGGCAUUGCCCCCGGGCCCGCGCCCGCCAGAGCGCCCUUGAACCCUAAUGAAGAUGGACUGUCUGAGUGAAUUGAUAAUAAUCAAAACUUUCAACAAUGGAUCUCUUGGUUCCGGCAUCGAUGAAGAACGCAGC